GCUAUCCUCCUCGUGGGCUCGUGGGCUCCUGGGGGAAGGGCCUUCCUUGGUUUCUGGGCUUUCGUUGGUCUGUUCCUCCUGUGCCUGACCCUCUGUGCUCUUCUCUUUUAUGAAACAGCACUCAGAAAGGAUUAGAACUAGGACCCACCCUUCUCUGGUGUUACUUAACUGAUAACUCUCUUCAAAGAGUGGGAGAAACAAGUGGCAGUCGGCUUCCAGUAAAGAUUUACAGCCUUGAGAAUGAAGAAAACCAAAGACACAAGGGGAAGAUUAGUCCAAAGGCCUAAUGGACCAUGAGUACCACAGCCUGAGUCUAGCACAACUAGAUGGUGUCCAGCUGCCACCACCGACUGCUCUGACAGGGAUCACCAUAGAGGGUCCCAGACAGAGCCAGAGAAAAAUGUAGAACAAAAUUCCAACUCACACACAUUCACAAAAGACCAAGCUUACUGGUCUGACACAGACUGGAAAAACACUAGGGCAAGGGCUAGAAGGCAGGAGAGGACAGGAAAGCUGGUAAUGGGGAACCCCGGGUCGAGAAGGGGAGAGUGUUGUCAUGGGGUUGGCAACCAAUGUACAAAACAACACGCGUAUUAAUUUUUUUUAAAUGAGAAGCUACUUUGCUCUGUAAACCUUCAUCUAAAGUACAAUUAAAAAAAAAAAAAACAACAACAGAAAGAGUAGACAGGGCUAUAAAACAAACAAUAACACGUGAGGAAUGAGCUUCUUAAUUCCAUCGAGUAUAGGAGAACUCAUGGGCAACACCUGCCCCAAAACAAAGACAAGAAGGCAGGAAGGGACAGGAAACCUGGACGAAAAGACACGGGGAACCCGGAGUGUAAAGGGAAAAGAGGAGAAUGCUGACACAUUAGAGGGAUUGCAACCAAUGUCACAAAACAAUUUGUGUAUAAAUUUUUGAACGAGAAGCUAAUUUGUGCUGUAAACUUUCACCUAAAACACACACACACACACACACACACGCACAUUUACAGCCUUGGAAACCCUACGGGGCAGUUUUCUUCUUGAUCCUAUAAAGUCGCUAUGAGUCGGAAUUGACUCCACUGCGGUGGGUUUAUCUUCAGACAAAGACCUUAUUACCCCAAACAAGGUCACGUUCACAGGUACAGGGGUUAGGACUUCGAGAUACCUCUUUGGGGGACACAAUUCAAUACCUAACCCUAGAGGGAGAGAGAAUUCCAUGGCUGGUGCUCUUUUUAAUGUCAGUAAAAAACAUCCCGUCUGUUUUCAAAGCCCGAAGAUCCUGAAACAACUUCUGGUUGACAAGAAAGCAUUUCUUCCCAGGGCUGUCAGUGCCCCCUUCAGUUUUAGACACGCCUCGUGCAGGGCAACGGCUCUGCCGUGGUGUUCUGACCACCUUGUACAUGUCCACAUAGGCCAGAACCCAAGUAUCAUGGAUUGAAUUGUGUCCCCCCCAAAACAGGUGUCAACUUGGUUAGGCCACCAUUCCCAGUGUUCUGUGGUUAUCCUCCAUCAUGUGAUUGUAAUUUUUUGUUAAAAGAGGAUUAGGGUGGGAUUGUAACACCACCCUUAGCCAGGUCACAUCCCUGAUCCAGUGUGAAGGGAGUUUCCCCAGGGUGUGGCCUGCACCACCUUUUAGCUCUCAAAAGAUAAAGAGAAGGAAGCAGAGAAUGGGGACCUCAUACCACCAAGAAAGCAACAGCGGGAGCAGAGCGAAUGCUUUGGCCCUAGGGUCCCUGGGUCACAAGGAAUCUUCCUCCAGAGACGACCAAGAGAGAAAGCCAACCCCUGGAGCUGACACCCUGAAUUUGCGGUUGUAGCCUACUAGACUGUGAGAGAAUAAACUUCUCUUUGUUAAAGCCAUCUGCUUGUGGUACUUCUGUUACGGCAGCACUAGAUGACGGAGACACCAAGUCCUCCACCCGGGAACAUAGGAUAGACAGUCUUGUGAGGAGCUUGACCCUUUUCUCAUCUGCCUCUCUUUUUUGUGGGAGGCCUCCUCUAGACAGUUUUCCCGUCCACCUCCCUGCUUCCAGUGAGGGGUGGGACUUUGCACCUAGCCCUCCUUAGGGCACAGCCACGGGAUAUAAAACUGCUCAGCUGCAGUGAGGCCUUGAUUGCUCAGCAACAGACCGUCCACCUACUUAUGUUGCCAUCAUCUGGCCACCUUUUUUGAGCGUCGACUUAGGAGAGGGCCAUGAGGAGCUGGCAGCUUUGACAACUUUUCCUUUCACUGCCCACGAAGAAGCAGAAGGAAGAAAGAAGUGCGAAGAAGCAGAGAGAGAGAGAAGAGGUAAAGAACCUCUUAAAAGAGCUGUAACACAGGUCAAGGGCGAUAACGCUGAAGAUGGUGACAGGCCUGGAAGGGGCCCAGUGGCAGAACAGUGGCGACAGACAGCGGAGCCAAGAGGAGCCUGUCCUGAGGGGGCCGAGAGGAGCCCUGAAUGGCUGAGAGGAGCUGAGAGAGAUGUCCUACACUGAAGAAGGGAGACUUUGCCUGUAUGCUUUCUGAUCCUGAUCCUGAGUUGUACCCUGUUACUUCCUUAAUAAACCACUAAACUAUAAGUGUGGUUCUGUGUGGCCAUGGGAACAGAUCAUUGAACCCCAAAGAGAAGUAGAGAGUGCCGUGGGAGGGGUGGAUGAUGUCAGAAUUGGUAAAAAGUUUGGAGGCUGGUGGUAUGUCUGACUGCCACCGCAUGGGAAUCAGCUUUGGGCUGAUCCUGGUCAUUAUCCCCCUUGAAUUCUGAAAGGUUCUGAUGCUGAUGCUACUUUUCCCACCUUUUUACAGCACCCCUUGCCCCAAAAGCAGCCUCUUUAUUUUUCUGGCUCCAGUUUUGAAGCAGGCAGUCAUGAAAAGGUUAUUAAGGGUUAUUAACCAUCCCAUAAUAGCUGUUUUUCAGAAAAGUCUACUCUUGUUACAUUUUUGUUACAACUUUUACAGCACUUCACCGUGGUGAUUAGUCGAAUGCCCAGGUUUCUUGUCUUCUCUUGGCACUGACUCUGAAUCUAUGCGCUAUAGGACCUUCCUGGGUUGGCGGUAGCCAGCCAUCGCCUUGUUUUCAGGGCUGUGUGCAGUAUUUCUAGAGCCCUGUGCAAAAACCCAUUCACUAAAAUUAUGUGGACUGAGCAUGCAUUAAAAGACUGAAGAUCCUCCCCUCCUUGUUCAUACAUAUGUAUGUCACUCUCUUUUUUUUUUUUCUCUCUAUGAAAGAAGCAAAUCUGCCCUGGGUCAGGGAGCUGGCAGCCUUAGGUCACGAGGCCCUGCCUGUCUCCCAGUUUGCAACUGUGAAGAAAACUUUCUGUUCUUUCAACCCUGUGUCUGGCUGACUUCAAUUCGCUAGUCUGCUUGACAAGAAGCUCUGAGUCGGUGGCUUCAGUUUCCUCUUCCCCCACCCCUUUCCUCAAGGCCUCUCUUACACCUCCUUCCUGGGCAGACAGCAUUAGCUCUCUCUCUGCCUCGGAUUUGCACCUGACAUGCAUCAGGAGAAUGGAAAAUUAGGAAGAUCCCUUAAGCUGCCCUCUCUUUCGAUGAUGGUGGAGACUGUAAGUGCUGUUGUUGUUAGUUGCUGUCAAGUGGAUUCCUACUCAUCACCACCCUCUGUGUGCCGAGUGGAACUGCUCCAUAGGGCUUUCAAAGCUGUGAUCUUUAGGAAGCAGACUGCCAGGUGUGUCUUCCAAGAUGCCUCUGGGUGGAUUUGAAACACCAACCUUUGGGCUAGUAGUCAAGCGUUUAACUGCUUUUGCCACCCAGGGCCUCGGGGAAUUUAAGUAAAUAGGACAUUAUCUUCUCACUGUCAGAAAUAACUUUAGAUAUUUCCUUCUCUGAAAAUGCUGAAUAUUAAACUAUAUUUUAGAAGAAAAUCCUAGGUCUUGUGUUGGCAGGUGUGGGCAUUUUUUGCCAAACCUCCCCAGGCUGUGUCCUCAUCUCGCUCUCCUUCUGAGCCACAGUGUCCUAGUAAAUUGAAAUAACCUCGACUCAUU